rnacentral:rRNA from 1 species
CUACGGGUUGCUCCAGUGGGGAAUAUCGCACAAUGGAGGAAACUCUGAUGCAGCAACGCCGCGUGGAGGAUGACACUUUUCGGAGCGUAAACUCCUUUUAUAUAGGAAGAAGAUGACGGUACUAUAUGAAUAAGCGCCGGCUAACUCCGUGCCAGCAGCCGCGGUAAUACGGAGGGCGCAAGCGUUACUCGGAAUCACUGGGCGUAAAGAGCGUGUAGGCGGAUUAAAAAGUCAGAAGUGAAAUCCUAUAGCUUAACUAUAGAACUGCUUCUGAAACUCUUAAUCUAGAAUAUGGGAGAGGUAGAUGGAAUUUCUGGUGUAGGGGUAAAAUCCGUAGAGAUCAGAAGGAAUACCGAUUGCGAAGGCGAUCUACUAGAACAUUAUUGACGCUGAGACGCGAAAGCGUGGGGAGCAAACAGGAUUAGAUACCCGUGUAGUC